rnacentral:rRNA from 1 species
AACAGGAUUAGAUACCCUGGUAGUCCACGCCGUAAACGUUGGGAACUAGAUGUGGGGACCAUUCCACGGUCUCCGUGUCGCAGCUAACGCAUUAAGUUCCCCGCCUGGGGAGUACGGCCGCAAGGCUAAAACUCAAAGGAAUUGACGGGGGCCCGCACAAGCGGCGGAGCAUGCGGAUUAAUUCGAUGCAACGCGAAGAACCUUACCAAGACUUGACAUAUACGAGAACGGGCUAGAAAUAGUCAACUCUUUGGACACUCGUAAACAGGUGGUGCAUGGUUGUCGUCAGCUCGUGUCGUGAGAUGUUGGGUUAAGUCCCGCAACGAGCGCAACCCUCGUUCUAUGUUGCCAGCACGUAAUGGUGGGAACUCAUAGGAGACUGCCGGGGUCAACUCGGAGGAAGGUGGGGAUGACGUCAAAUCAUCAUGCCCCUUAUGUCUUGGGCUUCACGCAUGCUACAAUGGCCGGUACAAAGGGCUGCAAUACCGUAAGGUGGAGCGAAUCCCAAAAAGCCGGUCUCAGUUCGGAUUGAGGUCUGCAACUCGACCUCAUGAAGUCGGAGUCGCUAGUAAUCGUGGAUCAGCAACGCCACGGUGAAUACGUUCCCGGGCCUUGUACACACCGCCCGUCAAGUCAUGAAAGUCGGUAACACCCGAAGCCGGUGGCCUAACCCUUGUGGAAGGAGCCGUCGAAGGUGGGAUCGGUGAUUAGGACUAAGUCGUAACAAGGUAACC